CGUUGAUAACCUACCUAUAAGACUGGGAUAACUUCGGGAAACCGGAGCUAAUACCGGAUAAUAUAUUGAACCGCAUGGUUCAAUAGUGAAAGACGGUUUUGCUGUCACUUAUAGAUGGAUCCGCGCCGCAUUAGCUAGUUGGUAAGGUAACGGCUUACCAAGGCAACGAUGCGUAGCCGACCUGAGAGGGUGAUCGGCCACACUGGAACUGAGACACGGUCCAG
rnacentral:rRNA from 1 species